UACGAAGGGGCUAGCGUUGCUCGGAAUCACUGGCGUAAGCGCACGUAGGCGGAUUGUUAAGUCAGGGUGAAUCCUAGGACUCAACUCCAGAACUGCCUUUGAUACUGGCGAUCUCGAGUCCGGGAGAGGUGAGUGGAACUGCGAGUGUAGAGGUGAAAUUCGUAGAUAUUCGCAAGAACACCAGUGGCGAAGGCGGCUCACUGGCCCGGUACUGACGCUGAGGUGCGAAAGCGUGGGAGCAAACAGGAUUAGAUACCUUGAGUCC
rnacentral:rRNA from 1 species